rnacentral:rRNA from 1 species
UACGAAGGGGGCUAGCGUUGUUCGGAAUUACUGGGCGUAAAAGCGCACGUAGGCGGAUCGAUCAGUCAGGGGUGAAAUCCCAGGGCUCAACCCUGGAACUGCCUUUGAUACUGUCGAUCUGGAGUAUGGAAGAGGUGAGUGGAAUUCCGAGUGUAGAGGUGAAAUUCGUAGAUAUUCGGAGGAACACCAGUGGCGAAGGCGGCUCACUGGUCCAUUACUGACGCUGAGGUGCGAAAGCGUGGGGAGCAAACAGGG